rnacentral:rRNA from 1 species
UUGACCUCGAAUCAGGUAGGAAUACCCGCUGAACUUAAGCAUAUCAAUAAGCGGAGGAAAAGAAACCAACAGGGAUUGCCCCAGUAACGGGGAGUGAAGCGGCAGCAGCUCAAAUUUGAAAUCUGGCCCCCCACGGGGCCCGAGUUGUAAUUUGCAGAGGAUGCUUUUGGCGAGGCGCCUUCCGAGUUCCCUGGAACGGGACGCCAUAGAGGGUGAGAGCCCCGUCUGGUCGGACGCCGAGCCUCUGUAAAGCUCCUUCGACGAGUCGAGUAGUUUGGGAAUGCUGCUCUAAAUGGGAGGUAUAUGUCUUCUAAAGCUAAAUACCGGCCAGAGACCGAUAGCGCACAAGUAGAGUGAUCGAAAGAUGAAAAGCACUUUGAAAAGAGGGUUAAACAGUACGUGAAAUUGUUGAAAGGGAAGCGCUCGUGACCAGACUUGGGCCCGGCGGAUCACCCAGCGUUCUCGCUGGUGCACUCCGGCGGGCCCAGGCCAGCAUCAGCUCGUCCCGGGGGACAAAGGCGGGGGGAACGUGGCUCCUCCGGGAGUGUUAUAGCCCACCGCGCAAUGCCCUGGGGCGGGCUGAGGACCGCGCGUACGCAUGGAUGCUGGCGUAAUGGUCACCAGCGACCCGUCUUGAAACACGGACCAA